UACGAAGGGGGCUAGCGUUGCUCGGAAUCACUGGGCGUAAAGCGCACGUAGGCGGAUCUUUUAAGUCAGGGGGUGAAAUCCCAAGGCUCAACCUUGGAACUGCCUUUGAUACUGGGGAUCUCGAGUCCGGAAGAGGUUGGUGGAACUGCGAGUGUAGAGGUGAAAUUCGUAGAUAUUCGCAAGAACACCAGUGGCGAAGGCGGCCAACUGGUCCGGUACUGACGCUGAGGUGCGAAAGCGUGGGGAGCAAACAGG
rnacentral:rRNA from 1 species